UACGUAGGGUGCAAGCGUUGUCCGGAAUUAUUGGGCGUAAAGAGCUCGUAGGCGGUCUGUUACGUCUGCUGUGAAAACCCGGGGCUUAACCCUGGGCUUGCAGUGGAUACGGGCAGACUAGAGGCAGGUAGGGGAGAAUGGAAUUCCCGGUGUAGCGGUGAAAUGCGCAGAUAUCGGGAGGAACACCGGUGGCGAAGGCGGUUCUCUGGGCCUUACCUGACGCUGAGGAGCGAAAGCGUGGGGAGCGAACAGG
rnacentral:rRNA from 1 species